rnacentral:rRNA from 1 species
AUUGAACGCUGGCGGAAUGCUUUACACAUGCAAGUCGAACGGUAGAGGGGGCAACCCCUCGAGAGUGGCGAACGGGUGAGUAAUAUAUCGGAACGUGCCCAGUCGUGGGGGAUAGCGUAGCGAAAGUUACGCUAAUACCGCAUACGAUCUAAGGAUGAAAGCGGGGGAUCGCAAGACCUCGCGCGAUUGGAGCGGCCGAUAUCAGAUUAGGUAGUUGGUGGGGUAAAGGCUCAACAAGCCAACGAUCUGUAGCUGGUCUGAUAGGACGACCAGCCACACUGGAACUGAGACACGGUCCAGACUCCUACGGGAGGCAGCAGUGGGGAAUUUUGGACAAUGGACGCAAGUCUGAUCCAGCCAUUCCGCGUGCAGGAUGAAGGCCCUCGGGUUGUAAACUGCUUUUGUACGGAACGAAAAGGUCUCUCUUAAUACGGGGGACUCAUGACGGUACCGUAAGAAUAAGCACCGGCUAACUACGUGCCAGCAGCCGCCGUAA